CCUACGGGAGGCUGCAGUGGGGGAUAUUGCACAAUGGGGGAAACCCUGAUGCAGCGACGCCGCGUGUGGGAAGACGGUCCUCUGGAUUGUAAACCACUGUCCCCAGGGACGAAGAUGACGGUACCUGGGGAGGCCGCUCCGGCUAACUACGUGCCAGCAGCCGCGGUACUACGGAGGGGGCGAGCGUUGUUCGGAGUGACUGGGCGUAAAGAGCACGUAGGCGGUGUUGUAAGUCAUUAGUCAAAGACUAGAGCUCAACUUUAGUAAGGCUAGGGAUACUAUAAUACUAGAGUAUCAGAGAGGAGUGCAGAAUUCCUGGUGUAGCGGUGAAAUGCGUAGAUAUCAGGAGGGAUACCGUUAGCGAAGGCGGCAAGCUGGCUGGAAACUGACGCUGAGGUGCGAAAGCGUGGGUAGCAAACAGGAUUAGAUACCCGGGUAGUC
rnacentral:rRNA from 1 species